GAAACGACUGCUAAGACUGGAUAGGAGACAAGAAGGCAUCUUCUUGUUUUUAAAAGACCUAGCAAUAGGUAUGCUUAGGGAGGAGCUUGCGUCACAUUAGUUAGUUGGUGGGGUAAGGGCCUACCAAGACUAUGAUGUGUAGCCGGGCUGAGAGGUUGAACGGCCACAUUGGGACUGAGACACGGCCCAAACUCCUACGGGAGGCAGCAGUAGGGAAUUUUCGGCAAUGGAGGAAACUCUGACCGAGCAACGCCGCGUGAACGAUGAAGUAUUUCGGUACGUAAAGUUCUUUUAUUAGGGAAGAAUAAAUGAUGGAAAAAUCAUUCUGACGGUACCUAAUGAAUAAGCCCCGGCUAACUAUGUGCCAGCAGCCGCGGUAAUACAUAGGGGGCAAGCGUUAUCCGGGAAUUAUUGGGCGUAAAGGGUGCGUAGGCGGUUAAAUAAGUUUAUGGUCUAAGUGCAAUGCUCAACAUUGUGAUGCUAUAAAAACUGUUUAGCUAGAGUAAGAUAGAGGCAAGUGGAAUUCCAUGUGUAGUGGUAAAAUGCGUAAAUAUAUGGAGGAACACCAGUAGCGAAGGCGGCUUGCUGGGUCUUUACUGACGCUGAGGCACGAAAGCGUGGGGAGCAAACAGGAUUAGAUACCCUGGUAGUCCACGCCGUAAACGAUGAGUACUAAACGUUGGGUAAAACCAGUGUUGAAGUUAACACAUUAAGUACUCCGCCUGAGUAGUACGUACGCAAGUAUGAAACUUAAAGGAAUUGACGGGACUCCGCACAAGCGGUGGAUCAUGUUGUUUAAUUCGAAGGUACCCGAAAAACCUCACCAGGUCUUGACAUGCUUCUGCAAAGCUGUAGAAACACAGUGGAGGUUAUCAGUUGCACAGGUGGUGCAUGGUUGUCGUCAGCUCGUGUCGUGAGAUGUUGGGUUAAGUCCCGCAACGAGCGCAACCCUUAUUGUUAGUUACCAGCACGUAAUGGUGGGGACUUUAGCAAGACUGCCAGUGAUAAAUUGGAGGAAGGUGGGGAUGACGUCAAAUCAUCAUGCCCCUUAUGACCUGGGCUACAAACGUGAUACAAUGGCUGUUACAAAGGGUAGCUGAAGCGCAAGUUUUUGGCGAAUCUCAAAAAAACAGUCUCAGUUCGGAUUGAAGUCUGCAACUCGACUUCAUGAAGUUGGAAUCGCUAGUAAUCGCGAAUCAGCAUGUCGCGGUGAAUACGUUCUCGGGGUUUGUACACACCGCCCGUCA
rnacentral:rRNA from 1 species